rnacentral:rRNA from 1 species
ACCAGACUCCUACGGGAGGCAGCAGUGGGGGAUAUUGCACAAUGGGGGAAACCCUGAUGCAGCGACGCCGCGUGGGUGAAGAAGUAUUUCGGUAUGUAAAGCCCUAUCAGCAGGGAAGAAAGAAGACGGUACCUGACUAAGAAGCCCCGGCUAACUACGUGCCAGCAGCCGCGGUAAUACGUAGGGGGCGAGCGUUAUCCGGAUUCACUGGGUGUAAAGGGAGCGUAGACGGCCGUGCAAGCCAGGAGUGAAAGCCCGGGGCCCAACCCCGGGACUGCUCUUGGAACUGUGCGGCUGGAGUGCGGGAGGGGCAGGCGGAAUUCCUGGUGUAGCGGUGAAAUGCGUAGAUAUCAGGAGGAACACCGGCGGCGAAGGCGGCCUGCUGGACCGCGACUGACGUUGAGGCUCGAAAGCGUGGGGAGCGAACAGGAUUAGAUACCCCCGUAAA